rnacentral:rRNA from 1 species
UACGGAGGGGGCUAGCGUUGUUCGGAAUUACUGGGCGUAAAGCGCGCGUAGGCGGCUUAGCAAGUUAGAGGGGAAAGCCCGAAGCUCAACUUCGGAAUUGCCUUUAAAACUGCAAAGCUAGAAUCAUGGAGAGGUGAGUGGAAUUCCGAGUGUAGAGGUGAAAUUCGUAGAUAUUCGGAAGAACACCAGUGGCGAAGGCGACUCACUGGACAUGUAUUGACGCUGAGGUGCGAAAGCGUGGGGAGCAAACAGG